CGGGGAUGCAGGCUCCCCAUCAGACGGAUUGGCCGUCCAAGCUCUGC
rfam:Alphaproteobacteria bacterium 62-8 SCNpilot_cont_300_bf_scaffold_988, whole genome shotgun sequence.